GAUCAAGUGCCUUAAGAGCAUCUAGUGGAUGCCUUGGCGCUGAGAGGCGAUGAAGGACGUGGUACGCUGCGAUAAGAUUGGGGGAGCUGCGAACAAGCUUUGAUCCCGAUAUUUCCGAAUGGGGAAACCCACCUUCGAUCACCAUCAUUUUGAAUUCAUGCAUUGUGGCAACACAUUGUGUGGGUUUGGAUUGAUGAUGAUCAAUGAAGGUAUUUAUUCCUGAAUACAUAGGGAAUAAAAGCGAACCCGGGGAACUGAAACAUCUAAGUACCCGGAGGAAAGGACAUCAACGAGACUCCGUUAGUAGUGGCGAGCGAACGCGG
rnacentral:rRNA from 1 species